rnacentral:rRNA from 1 species
UACGUAGGGUGCAAGCGUUGUCCGGAAUUAUUGGGCGUAAAGAGCUCGUAGGCGGUUUGUCGCGUCUGCUGUGAAAACCUGGGGCUCAACCCCGGGCCUGCAGCCGAUACGGGCAAGCUAGAAUUCGGUAGGGGAGACUGGAAUUCCUGGUGUAGCGGUGAAAUGCGCAGAUAUCAGGAGGAACACCGGUGGCGAAGGCGGGUCUCUGGGCCGAUAUUGACGCUGAGGAGCGAAAGCGUGGGGAGCGAACAGG